rnacentral:lncRNA from 1 species
CCACCUCUAGAGGUCGUGUACCAGAUUUAGAUGUUUUCAAUGGUAACUCAAAUCUCGUUUUGGUAUUAGAGUUCGGCCACCACUUUCUCCUCAGACAGUUCUCGUAUUUUCUUCUCUUUUCUUAGCAUGUAAUAUUAAAUUUUCUGAAGACAUACUUCUACUCUAGUAAUUUGAGUCCUAUCAUUCUUUUUAUUGCUAGCUCUCCUAGUUUUUCAUGGUUGCCAGCAACUUGUGAUUUUAUCUCUACCUUUGUGAUCGUUUUGUACGAAUUUUAUAUCCCAUAAAAACUUCAAUUUGUUGUUUAUUACUAUUAAAUGUUUUCUUGGUCUCUUUUCUCUUGAUUGUGUAGUUGUUAGAUGGAAGAAAUUGUUUGCUCAAAGAUGGAAGACGUUUUCACACGGAUGGCGCUCUCAGCUUGAUUCUCAUCUCCUAGCUGCCUCAUUCUCUUUCAAGUCGGGUUGCUUCAUGAAUAUUUAGGGUUUUAUUUUUUUAGACUUCUAAGCCUACCUGUAGGGCUUCUGUGGUGUUUUUUUUUACUGGACCAUAUAUUUUCCUUAAACAAUAAAUUUUUAUAUCUUCUAAUAAUAAUAAUAAUAAUAAUAAUAAUAAUAAUAAUUCUGAUAAAGAAGAGUGCUACUGCCUACUGAGGUGCAGUUGAUUAGAGAUAUACACUUCUGUAGCAGCAACAGUUUUGCCGUAACCUUAAUAUCUCCCGAAAAUGAAGCAUAACACAUUUAAGUAGUUGAAU